rnacentral:rRNA from 1 species
GUGCCAGCAGCCGCGGUAAUACGUAGGGGGCAAGCGUUGUUCGGAAUUACUGGGCGUAAAGCGUGCGUAGGCGGUUUCUUAAGUCCGUUGUGAAAGCCCUGGGCUCAACCUGGGAACUGCGAUGGAUACUGAGGAGCUGGAGUACGGUAGAGGAAGGUGGAAUUCCCGGUGUAGCGGUGAAAUGCGUAGAGAUCGGGAGGAACAUCAGUGGCGAAGGCGGCCUUCUGGACCAGUACUGACGCUGAGGCACGAAAGCGUGGGGAGCAAACAGGAUUAGAUACCCUGGCAGUCCACGCCCUAAACGAUGCGGACUGGACGUUGGGCACAACUUGGUGCUCAGUGUCGAAGCUAACGCGUUAAGUCCGCCGCCUGGGGAGUACGCUCGCAAGAGUGAAACUCAAAGGAAUUGACGG